AGCGAACGCUGGCGGCGGGCCUAACACAUGCAAGUCGAACGGCAGCACAGUAAGAGCUUGCUCUUACGGGUGGCGAGUGGCGGACGGGUGAGGAAUACAUCGGGAUCUACUUUUUCGUGGGGGAUAACGUAGGGAAACUUACGCUAAUACCGCAUACGACCUACGGGUGAAAGCAGGGGAUCUUCGGACCUUGCGCGAUUGAAUGAGCCGAUGUCGGAUUAGCUAGUUGGCGGGGUAAAGGCCCACCAAGGCGACGAUCCGUAGCUGGUCUGAGAGGAUGGUCAGCCACACUGGAGCUGAGACAGGGUCCAGAGUCCUACGGGAGGGAGCAGUGGGGAAUAUGAGACAAUGGGCGCAAGCCUGAUCCAGCCAUACCGCGUGGGUGAAGGAGGCCUUCGGGUCGGAAAGCCCGUUUGUUGGGAAAGAAAAGCAGCAGGUUGAUACCCCGCUGUUCUGACGGUACCCAAAGAAUAAGCACCGGCUAACUUCGUG
rnacentral:rRNA from 1 species